GCGGAAGGCCCUUCGGGGUACUCGAGCGGCGAACGGGUGAGUAACACGUGAGCAACCUGCCCCUGACUCUGGGAUAAGCCCGGGAAACUGGGUCUAAUACCGGAUAUGACCACUCCAGGCAUCUGGUGGUGGUGGAAAGUUUUUUCGGUCGGGGAUGGGCUCGCGGCCUAUCAGCUUGUUGGUGGGGUAGUGGCCUACCAAGGCGACGACGGGUAGCCGGCCUGAGAGGGCGACCGGCCACACUGGGACUGAGACACGGCCCAAACUCCUACGGGAGGCAGCAGUGGGGAAUAUUGCGCAAUGGGCGGAAGCCUGACGCAGCGACGCCGCGUGGGGGAUGACGGCCUUCGGGUUGUAAACCUCUUUCAGCAGGGACGAAGUUGACGUGUACCUGCAGAAGAAGCGCCGGCUAACUACGUGCCAGCAGCCGCGGUAAUACGUAGGGCGCAAGCGUUGUCCGGAAUUAUUGGGCGUAAAGAGCUCGUAGGUGGCUGGUCGCGUCUGCCGUGAAAGCCCGCAGCUUAACUGCGGGUCUGCGGUGGAUACGGGCCGGCUAGAGGUAGGUAGGGGCAAGUGGAAUUCCUGGUGUAGCGGUGAAAUGCGCAGAUAUCAGGAGGAACACCGGUGGCGAAGGCGGCUUGCUGGGCCUUUACCUGACGCUGAGGAGCGAAAGCGUGGGGAGCGAACAGGAUUAGAUACCCUGGUAGUCCACGCUGUAAACGUUGGGCGCUAGGUGUGGGACCCUUCCACGGGUUCCGUGCCGGAGCUAACGCAUUAAGCGCCCCGCCUGGGGAGUAC
rnacentral:rRNA from 1 species